UACAGAUGUCAAUUGAAGGUCAUGCUUGCUCUUGCGAUCUUGACACGGCGCCAUUUCGUCGUCUGAUACUUUCGGCGAAGUAUAUGAUGUUGUAGACGAGUUAUCCGCUGGAGUGUCUGCGGUUGAGUCCGAAGGAGGCACGCCGGCCUCGAGUUUCGGGUCAAAUCCUUGGUGUUGGAUAUCAGCGCAGGGUACCUCGAUAUCUGUUGGCUCUCUACUAGGGGCGCCACAUGGGUCAGACCUGACCUCUGCAGCCAAAGGAGCGACAUUGUCUACAGCUGAGCGCUGAUCAACAGCAGCUGUCGUGUGGCCCUCCACAGGGCACCUUUCCGCCAGGCAGACCAGCUUUUUUUUUAAACGUCACGUCACGCCGCAUUCGCUGUCUUCGUCCUCGCGAUGGCACCAGAGUGCGUUGCUUCCGACUGCCCUGAAUUAUGCCCUAUGAGAGUAUUGACACAAGUAAGAAAAGUAGGACAACGGAGUCAACAACCAGCCGGAAAUGCUCUUGUCACACAAGUGGUGAUGAUGGUCAUGUGAUAAAGAAACCAAUGGGGAUUUGGGUCGCUAGAAAGUCGAUCUGGCUACCCCAGGACGCCUAUACACGGUGAAUGCAAAUAGGUGUACACACAGUGAGCGGGUUAAAGUGAUGGAGUGCAACAUGCAGUUGAAAAGUAAAAAGCAGAAAUACGCAUA